CGUCGCAGUGAAAGUCAAACGGAAACGGAUACGCCUCCAGGCGGAAUGACAGAAAAUUGUCACGUAGCCGCUCUUUGAGUGUGACUGACAAAUAUAGGGCUCUCGCACAGAUACACACACACACACACACAGGCGUGUUUAUUUCUUUGAUUUAACAUCAAUUGUAAACUGCUUGCGUUUGUGAUUUGUCAGGUGUCACAACCACUGGCCCCCCUGUCGGAUGGGGGGGGGGAGGGGCAUGCCACAGGAGAAUGGAUUCGGGUACUUACCACUGACGACACUGACAGCAGGCCGUAGAUUUCCAUACUUAAAUGCCGGCUCUGUCCGCGACUAGGCUGUAAAUUGAGCGAGUACUGCGGUAUUAGGUCGACCAUAAGAUACCCUAUAAGUGGAAAAAGUCAAGGCAGUCGUAGACGAAAAAAGAGAAGACCUGAUGGAAAAUUUCACCAAGAUUAAUUAUAAAAUUUUCUGCAUUAAGAUUUAACUUAAAAAUGGCAUGGGAUUACAACUUCUUGGCUUAAUAAAAGAUACAAUUAUAUCUCUCAAUAAUAUUAAAAA
rnacentral:sRNA from 1 species